rnacentral:rRNA from 1 species
UACAGAGGUCUCAAGCGUUGUUCGGAUUCAUUGGGCGUAAAGGGUGUGUAGGUGGCGCCGUAAGUCGGGUGUGAAAUUUCGGAGCUUAACUCCGAAACUGCAUUCGAUACUGCGGUGCUUGAGGACUGGGGAGGAGACUGGAAUUCAUGGUGUAGCAGUGAAAUGCGUAGAGAUCAUGAGGAAGACCAGUGGCGAAGGCGGGUCUCUGGACAGUUCCUGACACUGAGACACGAAGGCCAGGGGAGCAAACGGG